CUGCCUUUGUGACCAGAUUGAAGAGAUCAUCACUGUCCUCAGUCAAUGGGUUUGUGAAGCUGUGAAGAGUGGCAGUUCGUGCUUCAAUGUUUGGAUUUUGCUUGAAGUUGAGUGAUCUCAAUAAUGCUUGAUGGAUUUGCCAGGUCAUGGAAGAAGAAACGAUGCAGGAGGCUUGGCGGGAAUUGCCAGUGGAAGAGAUGUGGUUUUGACACCGAACGGAAUGGAUCGUGCGGGUUAUGGAGAAACUGUUGUGUCCCCAAAAGGAAUGCCCCUUGGACUACACCAUCUCCCAAAGUGUGAGCAAAUCAAGGAAAUCCUCCUUCCUUUGACAGUCCUGAUGGAAUCCUGCUUCUGCUCUGCUUGCUGAUGCACUUCUCGUUGCCAUCAACACUUCCUGCUCAGCAGUGAAGAAAUGUCGUUUAUUAGCUCCCAGCC